rnacentral:rRNA from 1 species
CCUACGGGAGGCAGCAGUGGGGGAUAUUGCACAAUGGGGGGAACCCUGAUGCAGCGACGCCGCGUGGGUGAAGGAGCGUUUCGGCGCGUAAAGCCCUAUCGGCAGGGAAGAAGGAGGACGGUACCUGACUAAGAAGCCCCGGCUUACUACGUGCCAGCAGCCGCGGUAAUACGUAGGGGGCAAGCGUUAUCCGGAUUUACUGGGUGUAAAGGGGGCGCAGACGGCAGUGCAAGCCAGGAGUGAAAGCCCGGGGCCCAACCCCGGGACUGCUCUUGGAACUGCGCGGCUGGAGUGCAGGAGGGGCAGGCGGAAUUCCUGGUGUAGCGGUGAAAUGCGUAGAUAUCAGGAAGAACACCGGUGGCGAAGGCGGCCUGCUGGACUGCGACUGACGUUGAGGCCCGAAAGUGUGGGGAGCGAACAGGAUUAGAUACCCGUGUAGUC